GCUGGUUUGGCUCAGUGGAUAGAGCAUCAGCCUGUGAACUGAAGGGUCACCGGUUCGAUUUCGGUCAAGGGCA
rnacentral:tRNA from 1 species